rnacentral:rRNA from 1 species
UACAGAGGUCUCGAGCGUUGUUCGGAUUCAUUGGGCGUAAAGGGCGCGUAGGUGGCGCCGUAAGUCGGGUGUGAAAUCUCGGAGCUUAACUCCGAAACUGCAUUCGAUACUGCCGUGCUUGAGGACUGGAGAGGAGACUGGAAUUUACGGUGUAGCGGUGAAAUGCGUAGAUAUCGUAAGGAACACCGAUGGCGAAGGCAGCUGCCUGGCCUAACACUGACGCUGAGGUGCGAAAGCGUGGGGAGCGAACGGG